AAGCAUAUCAAUAAGCGGAGGAAAAGAAACCAACAGGGAUUGCUCUAGUACGGCGAGUGAAGCAGCAAUAGCUCAAAUUUGAAAUCUGGCGCCUUCGGCGUCCGAGUUGUAAUUUGUAGAGGAUGCUUCUGGGCAGCCACCGACCUAAGUUCCUUGGAACAGGACGUCAUAGAGGGUGAGAAUCCCGUAUGCGGUCGGAAAGGCACCCUACACGUAGCUCCUUCGACGAGUCGAGUUGUUUGGGAAUGCAGCUCUAAAUGGGAGGUAAAUUUCUUCUAAAGCUAAAUAUUGGCCAGAGACCGAUAGCGCACAAGUAGAGUGAUCGAAAGAUGAAAAGCACUUUGGAAAGAGAGUUAAAAAGCACGUGAAAUUGUUGAAAGGGAAGGGAUUGCAACCAGACUUGCUCGCGGUGUUCCGCCGGUCUUCUGACCGGUCUACUCGCCGCGUUGCAGGCCAGCAUCGUCUGGUGCCGCUGGAUAAGACUUGAGGAAUGUAGCUCCCUCGGGAGUGUUAUAGCCUCUUGUGAUGCAGCGAGCGCCGGGCGAGGUCCGCGCUUCGGCUAGGAUGCUGGCGUAAUGGUUGUAAUCCGCCCGUCUUGAAACACGGACCAAGGAGUCUAACAUCUAUGCGAGUGUUCGGGUGUCAAACCCCUACGCGUAAUGAAAGUGAACGGAGGUGAGAACCGCAAGGUGCAUCAUCGACCGAUCCUGAUGUCUUCGGAUGGAUUUGAGUAUGAGCAUAGCUGUUGGGACCCGAAAGAUGGUGAACUAUGCCUGAAUAGGGUGAAGCCAGAGGAAACUCUGGUGGAGGCUCGCAGCGGUUCUGACGUGCAAAUCGAUCGUCAAAUUUGGGUAUAGGG
rnacentral:rRNA from 1 species